rnacentral:rRNA from 1 species
AAUAGAUACCCGGGUAGUCCACGCCGUAAACGAUGAGUGCUAAGUGUUAGGGGGUUUCCGCCCCUUAGUGCUGCAGCUAACGCAUUAAGCACUCCGCCUGGGGAGUACGGUCGCAAGACUGAAACUCAAAGGAAUUGACGGGGGCCCGCACAAGCGGUGGAGCAUGUGGUUUAAUUCGAAGCAACGCGAAGAACCUUACCAGGUCUUGACAUCCCAUUGACCGCUAUGGAGACAUGGCUUUCCCUUCGGGGACAGUGGUGACAGGUGGUGCAUGGUUGUCGUCAGCUCGUGUCGUGAGAUGUUGGGUUAAGUCCCGCAACGAGCGCAACCCUUGUUCUUAGUUGCCAUCAUUUAGUUGGGCACUCUAAGGAGACUGCCGGUGACAAACCGGAGGAAGGUGGGGAUGACGUCAAAUCAUCAUGCCCCUUAUGACCUGGGCUACACACGUGCUACAAUGGACGGUACAAACGGUUGCCAACCCGCGAGGGGGAGCUAAUCCGAUAAAACCGUUCUCAGUUCGGAUUGUAGGCUGCAACUCGCCUAU